GCCUCGGUAGCUCAGUCGGUAGAGCAGAGGACUGAAAAUCCUCGUGU
rnacentral:tRNA from 1 species